rnacentral:sRNA from 1 species
GUGAGAAGACGACGACCACCAAAUCC